AGUGAACGCUGGCGGCAGGCCUAACACAUGCAAGUCGAGCGGCAGCGCGGGGGCAACCCUGGCGGCGAGCGGCGGACGGGUGAGGAAUUCGUCGGAAUCUGCCUUUUUGUGGGGGAUAACGUAGGGAAACUUACGCUAAUACCGCAUACGUCCUACGGGAGAAAGUGGGGGACCGCAAGGCCUCACGCAGAAAGAUGAGCCGACGACCGAUUAGCUAGUUGGUGGGGUAAAGGCCCACCAAGGCGACGAUCGGUAGCUGGUCUGAGAGGAUGAUCAGCCACACUGGGACUGAGACACGGCCCAGACUCCUACGGGAGGCAGCAGUGGGGAAUAUUGGACAAUGGGCGCAAGCCUGAUCCAGCCAUGCCGCGUGUGUGAAGAAGGCCUUCGGGUUGUAAAGCACUUUUGUCCGGAAAGAAAUCCCUGGAGCUAAUACCUUCGGGGGAUGAUGGUACCGGAAGAAUAAGCACCGGCUAACUUCGUG
rnacentral:rRNA from 1 species